rnacentral:lncRNA from 12 species
CCUUCGAUGAUAUCACACCGGCACACCUCCCAGGGCCCAGGCUGCGCUCCACCCAGGCGGAGAGGAUGCGCAAGGCAGCAUUUGUACACAGGAGCCUGGAGUCGCAGGAAACGAGUCUGAAUUUGAAGCCAGAUGGUCCCACCCUAGAAGUUGCCAUCUUAACUAUUAUCCUAUACUGUUCUGCCUUAUAAAGCCAUGACUCCUUCGGGUGUUCUUCUUCUGCUGCUCCUUUUCCUUACUCCUCUCUCAGCUCUGCCCGAAAUGAAGCUCUCUAUCAAGCCAUCGACGAGUUCUAAUUGGUCAGUUCUGCGUGAGAAGCCCCGUCCACAGCCAGAUGGGUGCCUCUGGCAGGAAGCAUAUGAUUGGGCACAUGUGUCAGGAGGUGAACCAAUGGGGGAGAGCAUGUUCUAAACUGUCCACCUGUCCACCAAUGGGAGCAUGGUGUUCCCGCCCUCUUCAACUGCCUCUGCUGCCCUGCCCCAGCCUCGUGCCCUUGCAGUUUGACACCUCCCUUGUGUCCUAAAAGAAGGUCCCCUCACAGCUGCCUAGGAGACGCAGGAUGGCGGGCCCCAACCCCCUGCAUCCCCCCUGGGCCUUCUGCACCCCUCCCCUCCCUGGACUGGAUGGGAGGGGAGGCUUUUUCAGACAAAAAUGACAUAUAUGUAAAUAAUUCUGGGUGCCGAUGAGAAUCACCAGCCUUCCUCUGCAGCCUCCACCUUGCCCCUCAGAGACAGGCAUGACCCUGCUCUUUGUACUGGGCUGCAUUUUCUUUCCGCUGAGUUUUGCUAUCCUCUGCUGGGGCCUGCAGAACCACUCCAACCUGCGGAUGGACAGACCAGAGGCUGUUUUGGUGGCAUCCAAGUGGAUUCCUGGAAGACAGAAAUGUGUCUUUGCUUGCUGAAAUUCAUGUCAUCCAGAGAGAAGCCACACGGCCACCAGGUUUGUUGCCCUCAAUCAAGUAGUGAUGAUGCCCUCCCAUAACCCAUGCCCCAUCCGCCCCAAACUCGGCUUUGCUCUUUGGCUUUGGAGCACUCCAGUUUUGCCAGUCUCAUAGCUGUGUUAUCUUGGGCAAGUUUUUUGUCUUCUUCUUCUUCUUCUUCUUCUUCUUCUUCUUCUUCUUCUUCUUCUUCUUCUUCUUCUUCUUCUUCUUCUUCUUCUUCUUCUUAUCUCUAAACCCAUUUCUUGUCUAUAAAACAGAUAUUACCAUCUGGGAAGAUUAAAUAAGAAUGAACAUACACCAUCUUGCCUAAUGCCCAGCACCUAGAAAACACUUAAGAAGUUGGGUCCUGGGAAUCCCUGGGUGGCUCAGCAGUUUAGCAUCUGCCUUCUGCCCAGGGCAUAAUCCUGGAGUCCCUCAUCGGGCUUCCUGCAGGGAGCCUGCUUCUCCCUCUGUCUGUGUCUCUGCCUCUGUGUGUGUGUGUGUGUGUUUCAUGAAUAAAUAAAAUCUUAAAAAGAAAAAAGAAGUUGGG